rnacentral:rRNA from 1 species
GAUGAACGCUGACAGAAUGCUUAACACAUGCAAGUCAACUGUGGCGGACGGGUGAGUAACGCGUAAAGAACUUGCCUCACAGAUAGGGACAACAUUUGGAAACGAAUGCUAAUACCUGAUACUGUGAGAGAGCUUUGCGUCCCAUUAGCUAGUUGGAGAGGUAACGGCUCACCAAGGCGAUGAUGGGUAGCCGGCCUGAGAGGGUGAUCGGCCACAAGGGGAAUGAGACAAGGCACUUAAUCGUACGGGAGGAAGCAGUGGGGAAUAUUGGACAAUGGACCAAAGUAUGAUCCAGCAAUUCUGUGUGCACGAUGAAGUUUUAGGAAUGUAAAGUGCUUUCAGUUGGGAAGCGGUACCAACAGAAGAAGGGACGGCUAAAUACGUGCCAGCCGCCGCGGUAAUUC